GCGAUUUCCGAAUGGGGAAACCCAGUGUGACUCGUCACACUAUCAUUAACUGAAUCCAUAGGUUAAUGAGGCGAACCGGGGGAACUGAAACAUCUAAGUACCCCGAGGAAAAGAAAUCAACCGAGAUUCCCCCAGUAGCGGCGAGCGAACGGGGAGGAGCCCAGAGCCUGAAUCAGCAUGUGUGUUAGUGGAAGCGUCUGGAAAGGCGCGCGAUACAGGGUGACAGCCCCGUACACAAAAGCGCAUGUGCUGUGAGCUCGAUGAGUAGGGCGGGACACGUGGUAUCCUGUCUGAAUAUGGGGGGACCAUCCUCCAAGGCUAAAUACUCCUGACUGACCGAUAGUGAACCAGUACCGUGAGGGAAAGGCGAAAAGAACCCCGGCGAGGGGAGUGAAAAAGAACCUGAAACCGUGUACGUACAAGCAGUGGGAGCACCCUUUGGGGUGUGACUGCGUACCUUUUGUAUAAUGGGUCAGCGACUUAUAUUCUGUAGCAAGGUUAACCGCAUAGGGGAGCCGGAGGGAAACCGAGUCUUAAUUGGGCGUUAAGUUGCAGGGUAUAGACCCGAAACCCGGUGAUCUAGCCAUGGGCAGGUUGAAGGUUGGGUAACACUAACUGGAGGACCGAACCGACUAAUGUUGAAAAAUUAGCGGAUGACCUGUGGCUGGGGGUGAAAGGCCAAUCAAACCGGGAGAUAGCUGGUUCUCCCCGAAAGCUAUUUAGGUAGCGCCUCGUGAAUUCAUCUCCGGGGGUAGAGCACUGUUUCGGCUAGGGGGCCAUCCCGGCUUACCAACCCGAUGCAAACUGCGAAUACCGGAGAAUGUUAUCACGGGAGACACACGGCGGGUGCUAACGUCCGUCGUGAAGAGGGAAACAACCCAGACCGCCAGCUAAGGUCCCAAAGUCAUGGUUAAGUGGGAAACGAUGUGGGAAGGCCCAGACAGCCAGGAUGUUGGCUUAGAAGCAGCCAUCAUUUAAAGAAAGCGUAAUAGCUCACUGGUCGAGUCGGCCUGCGCGGAAGAUGUAACGGGGCUAAACCAUGCACCGAAGCUGCGGCAGCGACACUCAGGUGUUGUUGGGUAGGGGAGCGUUCUGUAAGCCUGCGAAGGUGUGUCGUGAGGCAUGCUGGAGGUAUCAGAAGUGCGAAUGCUGACAUAAGUAACGAUAAAGCGGGUGAAAAGCCCGCUCGCCGGAAGACCAAGGGUUCCUGUCCAACGUUAAUCGGGGCAGGGUGAGUCGACCCCUAAGGCGAGGCCGAAAGGCGUAGUCGAUGGGAAACGGGUUAAUAUUCCCGUACUUGGUGUUACUGCGAAGGGGGGACGGAGAAGGCUAUGUUGGCCGGGCGACGGUUGUCCCGGUUUAAGCGUGUAGGUGUGUGUUCCAGGUAAAUCCGGUUCACUU
rnacentral:rRNA from 1 species